rnacentral:rRNA from 1 species
UACGAAGGGGGCUAGCGUUGCUCGGAAUCACUGGGCGUAAAGCGCACGUAGGCGGACUCUUAAGUCGGUGGUGAAAUCCUGGAGCUCAACUCCAGAACUGCCUUCGAUACUGGGAGUCUCGAGUCCGGGAGAGGUGAGUGGAACUGCGAGUGUAGAGGUGAAAUUCGUAGAUAUUCGUCAAGAACACCAGUGGCGAAGGCGGCUCACUGGCCCGAUACUGACGCUGAGGCACGAAAGCGUGGGGAGCAAACAGG